UGGGGAAUAUUGCACAAUGGGCGCAAGCCUGAUGCAGCCAUGCCGCGUGUAUGAAGAAGGCCUUCGGGUUGUAAAGUACUUUCAGCGGGGAGGAAGGGAGUAAAGUUAAUACCUUUGCUCAUUGACGUUACCCGCAGAAGAAGCACCGGCUAACUCCGUGCCAGCAGCCGCGGUAAUACGGAGGGUGCAAGCGUUAAUCGGAAUUACUGGGCGUAAGGCGCACGCAGGCGGUUUGUUAAGUCAGAUGUGAAAUCCCCGGGCUCAACCUGGGAACUGCAUCUGAUACUGGCAAGCUUGAGUCUCGUAGAGGGGGGUAGAAUUCCAGGUGUAGCGGUGAAAUGCGUAGAGAUCUGGAGGAAUACCGGUGGCGAAGGCGGCCCCCUGGACGAAGACUGACGCUCAGGUGCGAAAGCGUGGGGAGCAAACAGG
rnacentral:rRNA from 1 species